rnacentral:misc_RNA from 1 species
UUCCAACGGCUGGUGUUCGUUACAAGGCUAUGAACGCCUUUUAAAUCCGACCGGACACGAUCCGCGACCACGUUCCGCAGAGCGUACUAGCGGCCGAGCGAACCAGUCCUAGAUCCCCUUGUUUCCCGAUCUCACAAGUUUCAGACCGGCUCUCCUAGUCCGUAGGACUAAGAUCGCGGCCUUCAGUGAGGACUACCAGCAACCGACAGCACCUAAAAGAUGCGCACAGUCACGGCGUAUCCCCGAGUGGAUAGUUGCUAUCAGGUUUGGCCAUCGGCAAGUAAUCCACAUCCUUCAACAGCGCGGACACAAGUCACACAAGGACAGUGCCCGACGAACUGAGAAACCAAAUAACCAUUCAGUAAAAUCCCGGCUAUCCCAUCCGCGAGCCAGUACAUCCUGCGAGGCAGGCGCAUCUAUGGCUCGGUCCAGG